AACGAACGCUGGCGGCAGGCUUAACACAUGCAAGUCGAACGCCCCGCAAGGGGAGUGGCAGACGGGUGAGUAACGCGUGGGAACAUACCCUUUCCUGCGGAAUAGCUCUGGGAAACUGGAAUUAAUACCGCAUACGCCCUACGGGGGAAAGAUUUAUCGGGGAAGGAUUGGCCCGCGUUGGAUUAGCUAGUUGGUGGGGUAAAGGCCUACCAAGGCGACGAUCCAUAGCUGGUCUGAGAGGAUGAUCAGCCACAUUGGGACUGAGACACGGCACAGACUCCUCCGGGAGGCAGCAGUGGGGAAUAUUGGACAAUGGGCGCAAGCCUGAUCCAGCCAUGCCGCGUGAGUGAUGAAGGCCUUAGGGUUGUAAAGCUCUUUCACCGAUGAAGAUAAUGACGGUAGUCGGAGAAGAAGCCCCGGCUAACUUCGUGCCAGCCGCCGCGGUAAUAC
rnacentral:rRNA from 1 species